rnacentral:rRNA from 1 species
AUUGAACGCUGGCGGCAUGCUUUACACAUGCAAGUCGAACGGUAACAGGCCGCAAGGUGCUGACGAGUGGCGAACGGGUGAGUAAUGCAUCGGAACGUGCCCAGUCGUGGGGGAUAACGCAGCGAAAGCUGCGCUAAUACCGCAUACGAUCUCUGGAUGAAAGCGGGGGACCGAAAGGCCUCGCGCGAUUGGAGCGGCCGAUGUCAGAUUAGGUAGUUGGUGGGGUAAAGGCCCACCAAGCCAACGAUCUGUAGCUGGUCUGAGAGGACGACCAGCCACACUGGGACUGAGACACGGCCCAGACCCCUACGGGAGGCAGCAGUGGGGAAUUUUGGACAAUGGGCGCAAGCCUGAUCCAGCAAUGCCGCGUGCAGGAAGAAGGCCUUCGGGUUGUAAACUGCUUUUGUACGGAACGAAACGGUCCUGGUUAAUACCCGGGGCUAAUGACGGUACCGUAAGAAUAAGCACCGGCUAACUACGUGCCAGCCGCCGCAGUAAUAC